rnacentral:rRNA from 1 species
UACGUAGGGUGCGAGCGUUGUCCGGAAUUAUUGGGCGUAAAGAGCUCGUAGGCGGCUUGUCGCGUCGGUUGUGAAAGCCCGGGGCUUAACCCCGGGUCUGCAGUCGAUACGGGCAGGCUAGAGUUCGGUAGGGGAGAUCGGAAUUCCUGGUGUAGCGGUGAAAUGCGCAGAUAUCAGGAGGAACACCGGUGGCGAAGGCGGAUCUCUGGGCCGAUACUGACGCUGAGGUGCGAAAGCGUGGGGAGCAAACAGG